AACGAACGCUGGCGGCAGGCCUAACACAUGCAAGUCGAGCGCGCCCUUCGGGGUGAGCGGCGGACGGGUGAGUAACGCGUGGGAACGUGCCCUUUUCUACGGAAUAGCCUCGGGAAACUGAGAGUAAUACCGUAUACGCCCUUUGGGGGAAAGAUUUAUCGGAAAAGGAUCGGCCCGCGUUGGAUUAGGUAGUUGGUGGGGUAAUGGCCUACCAAGCCGACGAUCCAUAGCUGGUUUGAGAGGAUGAUCAGCCACACUGGGACUGAGACACGGCCCAGACCCCACCGGGGGGAGGCGGGGGGAAAUAUUAAAAAAGGGGGCCACCCUUAACCGAGCCAUGCGGGGGGAGGAAAAAAGCCUUUGGGGUUGAAAAGCCCUUUCAGGUGGAAAGAUAAGGAGGGCCCCAGAAAAAGAACCCCGGGCAACCCCCGCC
rnacentral:rRNA from 1 species